rnacentral:rRNA from 1 species
ACCCGCUGAACUUAAGCAUAUCAAUAAGCGGAGGAAAAGAAACCAACAGGGAUUACCCUAGUAACGGCGAGUGAAGCGGUAACAGCUCAAAUUUGAAAUCUGACCUCUACGGGUCCGAGUUGUAAUUUGUAGAGGAUGUUUCGGGCAAGGCUUUGGUGUAAGUUUCUUGGAACAGAACGUCAUAGACGGUGAGAGUCCCGUCUAGCACCGGCCGCCGCGUCCAUGUGAAACUCCUUCGACGAGUCGAGUUGUUUGGGAAUGCAGCUCAAAAUGGGUGGUAAAUUUCAUCUAAAGCUAAAUAUUGGCCAGAGACCGAUAGCGCACAAGUAGAGUGAUCGAAAGAUGAAAAGCACUUUGAAAAGAGAGUUAAACAGUAUGUGAAAUUGUUGAAAGGGAAGCGCUUGCAACCAGACUUGCGUGCAACAGCUCCCCCAGUCUUCUGACUGGGCUAUUCUGUUGUAUCCAGGCCAGCAUCGGUUCGGGUGGUUGGUUAAAGACUUUGGGAAUGUACCUGAUCCUUCGGGGCCAGACUUAUAGCUCAGAGUGUAAUGCAGCCUACCCGGACCGAGGAACGCGCUUCGGCUCGGAUGCUGGCGUAAUGGUUGUAAGCGGCCCGUCUUGAAACACGG